AUUCUGCACUUCUUCGAUAGAAAAACUUUGACCACCAUGGGAGUCUUGAGAGCUUGAGAACUUGCUUUUCUAGUCACUAAAAUUCAUAGAUACUUUGAAAGAAAAUCAUCCUUGUAAUUAGUAGAACACAACCAUGACUUUUAAUCCUUGAGAAGAGCUUUACAUGUUCAUCUUUUCUCCUCUUUUUCUUAUGACCUCAUAGCCAUCCAUGGAAAAUGAGGUGUUUUCAUGUCUUGUUGAUGGGAAAUUGAGGAAAUAUGCACAAAAGAGUGGUUUAAGGUUUCCUCCCUCGGAUCCAAUCAUAGUGCAUUGAUCUUGGAAGCUUUCUUGGAUUGCCUUUGGUCCUUAAUCUAAAGGAUUUUGGUACACAUAGUGGUGCUGUAGGAGUAUUGGGCAAGAGGCCAACAUAACGUUGUGGAUGGGAGCAUUUUGGAGUGCACUAUGCAUAUAGUAUUUGUAUUUUGGGAUUACUAGUUAUAUAUUAGACUUAAUGCGUGAACGUUUGACAUAGCAUGAUUUGAUGUAUACCAUGCAUAGGGUUUGUUCAUGUAUUAUUUUGGAGCUAAGUUUAAUUAUUAUGGAUCAUUGGUAUUUUGGUAUAAUGAUGUAAUAUUGAUGUAAAGUGAUAGAAUGUAAUUAGAUAUAUUGAGGACAUUGGUAUGUAAUAUUGAUGUAUGUGAUAG